UAGAAAACGGAGGCCGUAGGGGGAGAGGAGGGUAAAAGUGGGAGAUCAGCAGCGCCGCUCCUUGCAGAGCCCCGUAUUGCACGGGGAUUCACCACCACCCUGGGAGGGGUCAGGGGAAGGACAAUCAAUCGAGAGAUGCCUCCCAUUUGUCUGGAAUGAGCCCCUAAUCCUCCACCUGCACCUCACCUUCCUCGGUUGAUCCACGCCUGAUUAAAAAGGAGUGGGGUAUAAGAAACCUAUUGCAAAAAGGGGGAAAGGAAGAAGUCGUUUCUGUAGUGUUGACUCGAAGAAUACGAUUAUUCUUGUUGGCUGACGUCCAAACUAAAUUACUCCUGAGUAGUGCUGUUGAAAUUAAGUAGCCCUUUAGAGCCCUAUUGAAUAACUUAGUCUUUAUAUCAGCCAUUUUAUUUUUAUUUAUUUUUUUAACAAGGUUUUCACCACCAGCAGCACAUCGCAUUCUGAUCAUGCAUAUUCUCAGCACAAGGCAUAUUUUGUUCAUGCCUAGGUUUCCCUUUUCAAAUUUGAAAGCGGGAAGGAGGACACUUAGGGAGAUUUGGCUGCUGUUCUAUGCCAAGCAGUCCUGUGGCAGAAAAGUGUGAGCAAUUCAUUGUCAUCUCUGUCUGUGCAGCCAGUCACAGUCACUUAUGGAUUCUUGCGCUUAGCUGUAUCUCAUUCAGAAUCUUCCAGAGUUUUGCCUCAAGUCACUUUUGGCGGGAACCCUGUCUCAGAGGUGUGCCUAGAUAAUUUUGGAGCCUGGGCCUAAAGGCCUUUGGAGCCCGCCCCCCUGCAAAUUAAGGGCACAAACCACACCACUCAGGAGAGACUAAUGAGGAUUGGGGGGGGCCAGGGGGUGUGGAGGCCCUGGACUUUGGCCCCAAAAUCCAGGCAUAAGAUCGCCUCUGCCCUGUCCCCAACAUGAUAUGUGUAUAUAGCCUAGUCUCUCAGCUGCCACAGUAGAUGCCUACUGAAGAACCUUUCUUUGGGGUGUUUUCCUCCGCUUGCCAAGUGAGGUUUUUUGCAUUUUCAGGAUCCAGCUUGCAUAAGGUGAAGAACUGGAAGGAACACUGCAGCCUAUAAUUGCAUUGUUUCCAGCCCUGUCUUUUGGAGCAACAGAGAACAAGUCUGCACCUUCUCCUAUGUCAGUGGUUCCAACCAGCAUUUCCCAGCCAUUGGACACUGGUCGGUGUGCUGUCUGGCUGAAGUGGGAAGUUCCCCCAAUUUUGCAGCUGACUCACCCCACAAUGCAUUGGGAAAGAGGUGCCCCCUUCCAAUCCAAGUGUAAAAAAGGAGCGAGUCACUUACAAAAGCUGAGAAUGUAAACUCCUGGCUUUUGAGCAACUUGCUUCUUCAUGCAUUGAGAAGGAGGUGCCUUUUGGGAUGAAUCAGCUCCAAAUGCAGGGGGUUUAAACUCCUUUUGCAUCUCACUCCUUUACAUCUGGGACUCACUCCUUUGCAUCUGGGAAAGGGGGCACCUCCUUCCCUUUGUAUAAGAGAGAGUCAGCUACAAAACACGCACAUUUGGAGAUUACUCACCCCAUAACUUAAAGGAAAGGAGGCACCUCCAUCCCAGUGCAUAAAGGAGCAAAUCAGCUGCAAAGCUGGGACUGGAGUUGAAACUCUCGGCUUUUGCAGCCAACUUGCCCCAUGAUGAGCCAGGAGGGUGGGCAAGUAAGUAAAAAUUGUGUGGUGGCUUCGCUGCCUAAAAAAAAAAAGGCGGGGGCUGUAGUGAGGCCCAUCUCUCCCCCCCACUCUUUAAUCCAAGUAUGUCCCUGAGUGGGGGUAGAGGGAAGGUUGGGAAACACUAUUCUAUGUGACAGCCUUUUAGAUAUUUGAAGACUGCUCUAAAGCAUUGCUCUUAGCUCUGCAGUAACCUCUUCUGGCCACUAGAGACAUGAGGAGUUAUGUUAAUAGGUCUCUCUUGGUCAGUUGAGAGUCAGUUAGAGUUGUGCAGUUGUUGAAGGCUAGUGCCUGUUUGGAUAUGUUAUUCAAUGUCUCUCUCUUAGUAUGUGAUGCUUUAGUUUCUUAAUAAAUCUUUAUUUGUUUUUGAACUCAACCUAGUGACUCCAGAUAAUAGAAAUGUGCCCGAAGUUGCUUCGGCGCCAGUGGGGGUAGUUCUUUAAGGGCGGGGGAGGGUGCACUCACCCCUCCGGCCACAUUUCCCCCGCCAGUGCUCCAUUAUUUUCAAGCCCCUCAGGGCGGCAGUGUUCCUCCCUGCUGCCCCGUUGUCCUCAUCAGCCAGAAAUGGCUGGAAGUACCGAUUGCAUGUGCGCCCGUCGCG